UGAGUAACACGUGAAUUAUCUACCUCCGAGUGGGGAAUAACCUAGAGAAAUCUGGGCUAAUACCGCAUAACACUUACGAGUCAAAGCAGCAAUGCGCUUGGAGAGGAGUUCGCGGCAGAUUAGCUAGUUGGCGGGGUAAUGGCCCACCAAGGCGAUGAUCUGUAUCCGGCCUGAGAGGGCGCACGGACACACUGGAACUGAAACACGGUCCAG
rnacentral:rRNA from 1 species